rnacentral:rRNA from 1 species
ACGAACGCUGGCGGCGUGCUUAACACAUGCAAGUCGAACGGAAAGGCCCUGCUUUUGUGGGGUGCUCGAGUGGCGAACGGGUGAGUAACACGUGAGUAACCUGCCCUUGACUUUGGGAUAACUUCAGGAAACUGGGGCUAAUACCGGAUAGGAGCUCCUGCUGCAUGGUGGGGGUUGGAAAGUUUCGGCGGUUGGGGAUGGACUCGCGGCUUAUCAGCUUGUUGGUGGGGUAGUGGCAUACCAAGGCUUUGACGGGUAGCCGGCCUGAGAGGGUGACCGGCCACAUUGGGACUGAGAUACGGCCCAGACUCCUACGGGAGGCAGCAGUGGGGAAUAUUGCACAAUGGGCGGAAGCCUGAUGCAGCAACGCCGCGUGCGGGAUGACGGCCUUCGGGUUGUAAACCGCUUUCGCCUGUGACGAAGCGUGAGUGACGGUAAUGGGUAAAGAAGCACCGGCUAACUACGUG